GAUUUGAACUCUGGACCUUUGGAAGAGCAGUCGGGUGCUCUUACCCACUGAGCCAUCUCACCAGCCCCUACAAAUCACUUUUUAAAAAUGAAAACUGAUGGUAAACAAGAACAUUAUCAAGGAGGAGGAGGAGGGAAGAUCUUGACAUAGCAUAGGACAAAAUUGUAAAAACAGAAACAUAACAGGGUACUUUGUGAGAUCACAGAAAAGUCUGGGCAAAGUGUAAGAAGUUCAGAAUUCCUUCCGAGAUAAAGGACUGGCACCUGCUGAGGUCAGCUCGGUCUUUGAAAGUUUCAUUAUAGGACUGGAGAUACGUCUUAGUAGCAAGAGUGUUUGCCUAGGUAAGUUCAAGGUUCAAUCCCCAAUACUGAGUAGAGACAACCUUUCUAUAUGGCUUGGUGUGGUGGCGCUCACCAACAACUCCAGUACCCGUAAGGUAAAGGCAGAAAUAUGUAGGGGCCAACCUGGCUGACACACUGAAGCCCUAAAUCAAAGGAGACCUCUCCCCACUGUCUGUAAAUCUUGCUCCAACCAAGAGAUCAGAUUGGGUUUGAUGACUUCACAUCCUACAUAUAAGGAAACAAUGUAUUCAUGGAAGUGGUUCAUUCUGUAGGGAAAAAAAAGGAACAAUAAAUUUAGGACCCCCUUCUCCCUUUGUGUAUUUAUGUGUACAUAAUGUGUAUGUUGGUGUAUGUGUGCAUGUGGACAUGCGUCAGGUGCCUUCCUUGAUAACUCUCCACCUUUUAUACUGAGGCAGGGUUUAUUGCUGGACACGGAGCUCAUCACUGCAGCCACUGCAGCCGUCUACUGCAGCCCAGCUCUUGUGUCUCUGUCCUCUGAGUGCUUGGGAUUAUAAGCAGCCACUACGCCUGCCCACUUUUCACCUGAGUUUUGAGGAUCCAAACUACAAUUUUCAUGAUGGUAGAGGCAAGUGCUUUAUCACUGAGCCAUUUCCCUACCUCUGGUGUGUUUUGCAAGACAAGGUCUCAUCCUGGAACUUGGGAUUCCUGAUUAAGAAUAGGUUGGCUAACCAGUGAACCCCUGAGAUGCUCUCAUUUCCACCUCUCAAGCAUUGGGAUUACAAGUGCAUGCCAGCACAUCAGCACAUCCAGUUUUUUGGGUUUUUUUUUUUUUUUUUUUUUUGGUUAUUGUUGUUUUUAAAUCUGAGAUGGUUUCACUGUGUAUCUCUGGCUGUCCUAGAACUCACUAUGUCAAACUCACAGAGCUUCUGACUAUGCCUCCCAAGUGCUGAGAUUAAAGGCCUCAAUCACUAUACUUUUCUGGUACCACAGUUUUUUGAGACACAUUCACACUGUACCUGGAGCUCACUAAUUCAGAUAGACUGGCCAAGAGCCAAGGACACCCCCAGAAAUCCUCCCAUUUCCCCCACUCCACCGCAGGAGCUACAGGUGCAGUCCCUACACUUGACUUAAAAUUGUACUGAGGGUCUGAUCUCAGACCCUCACACUCACCUGGGAAGCAAUUACCAGCUGAGCCCCAAUCCCUUUUUUCCCCUCUAAUUUCUUUAUUAGAUUUAUUCUUUUUAUGUGUGCUUUACCUAUAUGCAUGUAUGUAUGCUCACCAUGUGCAUAUGUGAUGCCAGAGAUCAGAAGAGGGUAUAGGAUGCCCCUGAACUGGAAUUACAGAUGAUUGUGAACCACCAUGUGCUAGGAAUUGAACUAAGGUCCUCUGUAAAAGCAACAAGUGUUCUUAAUCUCUAAGCUAUUUCUCUAACCAACUAAUGAUGAUGAUGAUGAUAAAUUUUUAUUUUGUGUAUGGUGUUUUGCUUGCAGGUAUGUCUGUUUACCACAUUCAUGCAGUAUACUUGGAGGUCAGAAGAAGGCAUUGGAUUCCCCUGGAACUGGAGUUACAUGGGAAUUGAGUUCAGAUCUUCUGGAAGAUCAGCUAGUGCUCUUACCUGUUGAUCCAUCUCUUUAGCUCCCUUCCCUGUUUGUUUGUUUGUUUUUUUUUUAAGAUUUUUUUUUUCUGGGUGGUGAUGGUGGUACUCAGCACUUGGGAGGCAGAUGCAGGUGGAUCUCUGAGUUCAAGGCCACCCUGGUCUACAGAGUGAAUUUCAGGACAGCCAGAGCUUUGCAGAAAAGUCCUAUCUUGAGAAACCAGAAAGAAAUAUAUUUCACUUUUAUUAUUUAUUUGUGUGUAUGUAUCUGUUUGUGUGUACACCUGUGUGCAAGUGCCACUAAAGGCCAGAAGAGGGCAUCAGAUCCCUAGGAACUAGAGUUGCAGGUGGUUGUGAGCUGCCCAGUGUGGGUGCUGGGAACUAAAAGAGCAUCAAGCGUUCUUAAGCAAUGAGUCAUUAAUCUAGCUUCUGUAUAUGUGGGUUUUUUCUUGUUCUUCGAGACAGCAUUUCACAUUAGGUAAUCCAGGCUAACCAGCCCUGCUGUCUGAGCUUCCAAAGUGCCAGGAAGAAGGGUGUGUGUCACUGCUCCUAGCACCGAGGAGCUGUGCUUUCUAAAGAACGUACAGGAAAUGCUUCAAAGGGACUAGGCAUGUAGGUCACGUUUUUCUAAACAUCUAGAUGUUUAUCUCUGAACCCUAAAACCCAAAUUAAGGCUCAUGCACAUACUAACAAAACCCACUCUGAAUCAAACAGAAAAUAAAGUGAAACAAAGAUACUUGUUCUUUUAUGAGAAAAUCGACACCAGUAUCUUAGAGUACUGUGUAUCAUCUUCAUCACAAUGGCGUGUUAAAAUUUAGAGGCUAGGUGCUGGAUGCGGUGAUAUAAACCUUUAAUCCCGCCAGAAGGUGACAGCAAGUGGCUCUCUCUGAACUCACAGCCAGCUUUGUCUAUACAGAGAGUUUCAAUUUCACUCAGAGCUACAGAGUGAGACCUUCAUC
rnacentral:lncRNA from 1 species